CUAUUUGUUAUUUAUUAAAUAUCAGCAGUGGAAACCGACAUUAUCCUUCCCAGGAGACUUGAAAUCUAAAUUUAAAAAGGCAGACAUGACACAAAUAUAGCCACUCCAUUGGAAAUCUGGGUGGAGUGAUCUAUUUCUUCUUGCUUAGAAGAAUUACUCACAGACAUGAUGAUGGUGUUCUCCAGUAGACUUGCCACGGAUCAGGAUCCUCAUCUCAGAGCAGUUUCUGGCAGACAGCCAGAGCAUCAAAGUCUUGGAGCUUCAAGGGACCUCAAAGACCAUCUUGUCCAAUCCCCUCAUUUCACAGAUGAGGAAACUGAGACCCAGGCCAGGGAAGCUGUGUGUGAGGUCAGACACCUAAGAUGGGGAAGGGAAGACCACCCUGGAAAACUCAUACUCUAAGGUAGGGAGGAGUGCCAUCUACCUUAUGCCAUAGUAGGAAAUUUCUCCUGUCAUGUAAAUGCCCUUUUAAUUCCCAUCAUCCUACUCAGUGAAUACUGUUUGGCUCAAGAGGGUGGGUGAUGUGGUCUAUGAAUUUAAGCUGUCUACUUCUGCCUAAAGUUUAAUAGAAAAGCCUCUUGCCCACAUGACAU
rnacentral:lncRNA from 1 species